AGCCUGAUGCAGCCAUGCCGCGUGUAUGAAGAAGGCCUUCGGGUUGUAAAGUACUUUCAGUUGUGAGGAAGGGGGUAGUGUUAAUAGCUGCUAUCUCUUGACGUUAGCAACAGAAGAAGCACCGGCUAACUCCGUGCCAGCAGCCGCGGUAAUACGGAGGGUGCGAGCGUUAAUCGGAAUUACUGGGCGUAAAGCGCAUGCAGGUGGUUCAUUAAGUCAGAUGUGAAAGCCCGGGGCUCAACCUCGGAACUGCAUUUGAAACUGGUGAACUAGAGUACUGUAGAGGGGGGUAGAAUUUCAGGUGUAGCGGUGAAAUGCGUAGAGAUCUGAAGGAAUACCAGUGGCGAAGGCGGCCCCCUGGACAGAUACUGACACUCAGAUGCGAAAGCGUGGGGAGCAAACAGGAUUAGAUACCCUGGUAGUCCACGCCGUAAACGAUGUCUACUUGGAGGUUGUGGCCUUGAGCCGUGGCUUUCGGAGCUAACGCGUUAAGUAGACCGCCUGGGGAGUACGGUCGCAAGAUUAAAACUCAAAUGAAUUGACGGA
rnacentral:rRNA from 1 species